AUGAAUGGAUACUUAGAGAUAGAAUGAGAAAAAGCAAAUUUGAUUAAUGCUACUUCUAUUAGUUUGGAACAAUUGGAAAAGUCUAAAAAUGAAACCCUUUAUUUUGAAAAACAAAGGGCAAUGAAUCAGGUCCGACAGCGGGUUUUCCAACAGGUCGUACAAGGAGCUCUAGGAACUCUGAAUAGUUGUUUGAAUACCGAGUUACAUUUCUGUACGAUUCGUGCUAAUAUUGGCAUUCUCAGGUCCUGGAAUGGAAGCGAUAAUUAA
rnacentral:rRNA from 1 species